rnacentral:lncRNA from 1 species
CAAAAUAUGAUAAAUAUGCACAUAUCUUUCCAUAUGCUAGCCCACAGAAACUGUAGAUGUGACCUAAUUUUUUUGUAUAUAUUAAUAAGGAUCUUGAGAUGACGUCAUACUGGAUGAUCCUAGUGCACCCUAAAUCCAAUAAGUGUUCUUAUGAAAGACAGAAGAGGAGACGAUACAGGAAAUAGAAGAAGGCUACUUGAGGAUGGAAGCAGAGAUUGGAGUUAUGCAGCUACAAACCAAAGAAUGCCUUGAGCCACCAGCAGCUGAAAGAGCUAGUCAGCAAUACAAAUGGGAUUUGAUAUCAGAUUCAUACGAUUCCGAAGACCCUGACCACCAAAUGCAAAAGAGAAGGCAGACACCUAGAAUUCCAUCCUAGAAUUAAGACGUGACAAUAAACUUUGAU